rnacentral:lncRNA from 1 species
AUAUAUGAUAUUUAACAAUCUGGAAAGCUUAUGAAAUUACAAACAAGUUUUAUUUAGAUCAUACCAUGAUAUUAUGGACGUAUGAUAACAUAAAACUGAAUGUAUCUAACUGUGUCCUGAUUUCUGACAGCACAAAUGCAUCAACAAACAACGACCAUAUCUCUUAGACCAUAAGGGCUACAAGAGUGAUCAUUACGCCAAAAGAAAGAUAUUGAAGUCUGCUGCUUGAAUAUAAUUUACCUACGAUUUUUAGAUAUAUAAACAUAGCCCAAAACAGCAUACAACUUACAACUGCGCAAUCUGGAAAAAACUGCAGGGCCUAAUUUCGAGAUUAGAACCCUAACUCGUCAAUUAAUCCAAG